rnacentral:rRNA from 1 species
AGCGAACGCUGGCGGCAGGCCUAACACAUGCAAGUCGAACGAAGUCUUCGGAUUUAGUGGCGGACGGGUGAGUAACACGUGGGAACGUACCUUUUGGUUCGGAACAACUCAGGGAAACUUGAGCUAAUACCGGAUGAGCCCUUAGGGGGAAAGAUUUAUCGCCGAAAGAGCGGCCCGCGUUAGAUUAGCUAGUUGGUGAGGUAAAGGCUCACCAAGGCUACGAUCUAUAGCUGGUCUGAGAGGAUGAUCAGCCACACUGGGACUGAGACACGGCCCAGACUCCUACGGGAGGCAGCAGUGGGGAAUCUUGCGCAAUGGGCGAAAGCCUGACGCAGCCAUGCCGCGUGAAUGAUGAAGGUCUUAGGAUUGUAAAAUUCUUUUACCAGGGACGAUAAUGACGGUACCUGGAGAAAAAGCCCCGGCUAACUCCGUGCCAGCCGCCGCGGUAACAC